rnacentral:lncRNA from 1 species
CUGACCCGUUGCCAUAUAUUAGUUUUGCCUUUAUACAAUGAUUUGUUGAGUUAUUUUUAAUACUAAAAUUUAAAAAAAUUUAAACCCCAACAAAAAUAAUUAAAAAAAUUUAACCCUAACAAAAAUAAUUAUAACCGUUGAGAAGACAUAAAAGUGACAAUUGAUUACGAAUUGAAAUUUCUUAAUGAGGUGUGGUUGGAGAUCUCCUUCUAAGAGUUUUUUUUUUUCUAUUAGUUGGUGGGGAAUAGCAUUGCUAAUAUAUUUUUUUUUAAGAGAUAGAUAAUAUGCUACUCGCUUCAUUUAUUCUUUUGAAAAAUAAACUUAGAAAUGUGAAUCAAUUAAGCUUCGAACUUAAAACCUCGGGUACUAACCAACAAGUCCUCUGCUACUUGCGCUAAGAUGGCCGGUAGCAUUGCUAAAAUUAGUCAUA